CCUCAGGUAACUGUGUUUGCAGCCAUGGCGGCGUCACUUUGUUGCCUGAUUUUCAUUCACAGAUCUGAGUCUCGCCUUUGAUUCGAUAACAUUUGGGCACGGUUUGGAUUUUGAAAAUGAUAAUAAUGUAGUGUUUAUAAGUGUGUCUAGUGAGGUCAAACGUGUGCUCGACUGGAAUUUUCCCUAUAAAUAUGAGAAAAUCCUCCGAGUGAGAACAUGGUGAACUCGAUUCUCACUUAAGUUAUCUUUGAGUAAAGUUGAAUAGCUUAGGUUGUGGAUGGUUUGAACCCAUAGACCUCGCCUUAAGUUAAAUUUCCAUUAAACCGUUUCUUGGUGGGGCAACCCAGAGGCCCGCGGAGAGACAUUUCUCUCUCAGAUAACUUGUUUGCAGCCAUGGCGGUGUCACUUUGUUGCCUGAUUCCUAUGAUUCGGUAACAUUUGGGCACGGUUUGGAUUUUGAAAUUGCUAAUUAGGCAGUGUGUACAAGUGUCCAGUGAGAUCAAACAUGUGCGCGACUGGAAUUUCUCCUUUAAAUUUGAGGAAAUGAAUUUGAGAGUACGAGGCUAAUAAGUGGUGAGAAGGGAUGUUUCUAUAAUUAGAUGGGGUUGAUCAUCCCUUAAUGAUCAGGUCAUCAAAGCCGAUGAUUUCGAAUAAACAAAAUCGACAGCCCUUUUUCUUCUUGAUAACUCAGGAUGUUCAGGUCACUAUCAGGCACCUUGACUAUUGCCUUGGGACCGAGCCUACUGUCCACUAGUGGGGGUCCCAAAUAAAGCCUUGGUAGGAUUCCUUUUUUUGUGUGGACAGUGGAGGUACAUAUCUAUGUGUGUGUUUGUGGUUGGACAUUGGUUUAUGACUAAGGGCCGUUUAUUUCGUCUUACUUAUUAGAAUUUUUUUUUUUUUUUAUCCUCUUAUUAGAUUGUUCACUACUCUUUUUACCUUUUGUACUCUUUUUUGUAUCCAUCCAUCCAUUUGAAAAUAGCGACUCACUACCCUAUUUGAUUAUUCCCUCUUUCUUCCCUUUUAUGCUGUUGUUGAGAGGGUCUUGAUUCAUUGAUAUGUACCUGAACCAUGAGUAUGGAUAAUUUCCUCAAUUAUAAGAGGUUGCAAUGUUAUUAUUCUCAGUUCAUAUGUUGAGAAGAUGGACCCAUUUCGUGGCAGGGCAACUGAUGUUGCAGCUAUGGUGGGAAAACCCUUACCUUCUAUGAUAAAAAUACAGAUCCAAGCCUGACCUUUUCCAUCAACUUGUUGACGCAUUUCAUGGGAGCUUGUGAUUCUGAGGCGAUGAUAGAAUAUAAUUUGCAUAUAAAAGCUCCUCAAACAACUCUGGAAAACUGUUUUGGAUCGAUGUCAUAGAUUUUGGGGUUUACAGAUUUUGAGGUUGGUUCUGAUUCUGAUCGAUUAGUUAUUUGGGGAAGACUGACGUGUAUAUUCUUGGGACAAGUACAUUAAAGCCUUUGCAUUUGAUCCGUAUCUCAAAUUAAACCCAGUGUCAACUCCCAAAGAGAAGGAGAGAGAGAAGUGUACUUGUUUUUAUCGUUGCUGGAGAAGUGUACCUGUUCGAUUUGGGAUUUGAGGUGCUUCAGAAACUAAACUCAGAAAAUGACGCUAAUAAACAGAGAGGAGGAUUGUUUCUGAGGGUGGUUGCCCCUCUCCGUCAAAAAAGAUGAUCUUGAUCCCUUGAUCAGAUCAUCAAACCUAUGAUUUUAGUUCCAUCCAUAAAAUCAACAGCCCUUCAGUUCCAUUUAAGGGUGCAUGCGUUUGUCAUUUCCUAUUCUUUUUUCAUUGCUGCUGCUGCUGCUGCUGCUGCUAAUGAUGAUAUAUCAAUAUAUAGAUAGACAGAUAGAGAGAGUAGUUCGAGAAAUUGAACUCAAAGAAUGAGGCUCCAGUGGUGAGAAGGGAUGUUUCUAAGAGUGGUUGCUCCUCACUGUAAUUUGAUGAUCAUUAUCCCUUAAUCAGAUCACCAAAGCCUGUGAUUUUAUUCGGAAAACAGCACUUUGCGUAUUUGUACACAUACAUGUUGAGUGUGCAUAAGCAAUUUGACGGAGGGAGUAUGUUGGCUGUGAUGAUAUAUAUCUCCAGUUCAUGUGUUGAGGAAUUGAAACCCAGUUUUUGGCAAGGUAAACGCGGAGGGCCUGUGAGGAGACCGGAGAACUGAUGGCCUCUCUCAAUUGCAGCAACCGUUGUUGCAGCCAUGGUGGGAACAUGCUUUCCUCUUCUCCUAUUGAAAUACAGAUUUGAGCCUCACCUUUUCUCGUCACUUGUGUGUGUGAUCAUUAUCCCUUAAUCAGAUCACCAAAGCCUAUGAUUUUGUUAAAGCAUCCAACUCAAAACCAAUUGGCAAUGAGUGGAGAGGCCGCCCAGGCUCAUAUACUAGUUUUGGAGGAGAUAAAUAACCGAUGUGGGACAAUUUCCAACAGAUUUCAUUCGAAAAACAGCCCUUUGUGUGUUUGUACGCAUAUAUGGGGAGCAUGGACAAACAAUUGGUGACAGAGGGAGUAUAUUUUUACGUAGUAUAGGAGAGGCUGUGAUGAUAGAUCUCUCGAGGUCGUGUUGAGGAAUUGGAAUCCAUUUUCUUGGCGAGGCAAACACAGUGGGCCUAUGGGAGAGAAUUGAUGGUUCUCUCUUCAAGUGGGGCAACUGUUGUUGCAGCCAUGGCGGGAACAUGAUUUCCUCUUCUAUCAAAAUACAGAUCUGAGCCUCAAUUUUCCCUUCUCACUUACGUGUGUGUGUGUGGUAUUAAAGCCACAAGGCACAUAAGGUAUGUUUUGUUGGUUGGUUCAGCAUGAUAUUAAAUGCUUUUGAACACUCCAUUGGAACAAGAGGGUAGAGGAUUACUUUCUAACUGUUAGUUAAGCUGCAUCAAACACCCACUGGAACAGAUUGCACUAAAGAAAGCAAAGAGGCUGUGAUGAUAGCUUUCUUAGCUUAUUUCAGGAUUUGAGAACCCGAUCUGCUUCUUGGUGGGGUGAUCCGGGGGAUUUGUGGGAUAGAUCUGUUUGGUUUUACUUUCAGACUUUCACUGGCAACUCUGGUUGCAGCCACGAAGUUUGUCAUAUCUCACCUGAUCUUUGGCAAAUCUGAGCCUCAACCUUUCUUGCAAUAGUAAAUGUGUAUGCAUUUGUAUGUAGUUGAUUGACUGUAGGAAAUCUGGGUUUAAUCGCAUCUUGGGAUUUAUAUUUAAUAUGAUGGUUUUUAUCUUGCAGGACCAAGUUUGAGUUGGAGGUGUAACGAUGAUUCACAUGCCAUUGAAAGUUGCUUUGUCUUGUGAUUCGUAAGGAGUUGACGUGUGUGCUUGAACCAGAGAAGACCCUAACGUAUGGGGGAAUUUUAGAGGCAAAAUGAUAACUAAAAUGAAGAAAAGGAGCCCAAGUGUGAUGACAAGUGACAACAAGGGGGACCCCAUUGUGUGGAGCAAUUCGAGGGCAAAAAGGAUGACAAAUAAACAAGUGGAAUCCAGCAACUUAGCCUCCGGUGGACUAUUGGUGGCUCUUGCUGAAGAAUCGAGCGUUUGCUCACUUGGGCUUAUCUGUUCAAUUCACAGUUGCAGAUUUUUCUUGAACUGAGAGAUGAUGCUGGUUAGAGAACUAGUUCCAUUGGUUUUGCCAUUCCUUAAAGAGAUGCACCCUCGUAUCAUCUCUCUCUCUCUCUCUCUCUCUCUCUCUCUCUCUCUCUCUCAGCAUCGCAGAAGAAUUCUGUAUCAACCUGAUUUGCUAGCUAAUUAAUGUGCAAUUAACAGGCAUUUUCUCUU